GAUGAACGCUGGCGGCGUGCCUAAUACAUGCAAGUCGAGCGAACGGACGAGGAGCUUGCUCCUUUGACGUUAGCGGCGGACGGGUGAGUAACACGUGGAUAACCUACCUAUAAGACUGGGAUAACUUCGGGAAACCGGAGCUAAUACCGGAUAAUAUAUUGAACCGCAUGGUUCAAUAGUGAAAGACGGUUUUGCUGUCACUUAUAGAUGGAUCCGCGCCGCAUUAGCUAGUUGGUAAGGUAACGGCUUACCAAGGCAACGAUGCGUAGCCGACCUGAGAGGGUGAUCGGCCACACUGGAACUGAGACACGGUCCAGACUCCUACGGGAGGCAGCAGUAGGGAAUCUUCCGCAAUGGGCGAAAGCCUGACGGAGCAACGCCGCGUGAGUGAUGAAGGUCUUCGGAUCGUAAAACUCUGUUAUUAGGGAAGAACAAAUGUGUAAGUAACUAUGCACGUCUUGACGGUACCUAAUCAGAAAGCCACGGCUAACUACGUG
rnacentral:rRNA from 1 species